rnacentral:rRNA from 1 species
CGGGUGAGUAACGCGUGAAAACCUGCCGUAUACUGGGGGAUAACACUUAGAAAUAGGUGCUAAUACCGCAUAAGCGCACAGCUUCGCAUGAAGUGGUGUGAAAAACUCUGGUGGUAUACGAUGGUUCCGCGUCUGAUUAGCUUGUUGGCGGGGUAAUGGCUCACCAAGGCGACGAUCAGUAGCCGGCCUGAGAGGGUGAACGGCCACAUUGGGACUGAGACACGGCCCAAACUCCUACGGAAGGCAGCAG